UACAGAGGGUGCGAGCGUUGUCCAGAAUCACUGGGCGUAAAGGGCGCGUAGGCGGCUUGAUAAGGUUGCGGUGAAAGCCCGGGGCUCAACCCCGGGUCGGCCGUGGCAACUGUCGAGCUGGAGCACUGUAGAGGCAGGUGGAAUUCCGGGUGUAGCGGUGGAAUGCGUAGAGAUCCGGAAGAACACCGGUGGCGAAGGCGGCCUGCUGGGCAGUGGCUGACGCUGAGGCGCGACAGCGUGGGGAGCAAACAGG
rnacentral:rRNA from 1 species